rnacentral:misc_RNA from 1 species
UAAGACUGCACUAAAUCUCUGCGAACUUGGCCGACGCUUUCCUCGCUCUGUGUGUUGCUCGUGCAUGGCUGCUGCUCUGUGCCUCUCCCAUCUUCGAUCUCUUGAUCCGCGAAGAGGGCGUGGGCCACGAGUUUGGCAUGAGCGCUAACGACACCGAUGCUGGCAGCAGCAUGAGCGGCGGCGCCGACGGCAGCAGGCCUCCACAUGGCGCGCUGGAGCUUCCCCCGGUGAUGGAGAGCGUGCUGCGCCCUCACCAGGUAAGUGCAUUGGAAUUUAUUUGGAGGCGUCUCGUGCUGGACGGCGCGCUGCGCAUGGCUGCUCGAACCUUCUCCUCCACGAUCGAGCAGCGCACUCGGCUUUAUCAAGAAGUGUUUGGCGCCAUUCUGGCGCACUCGAUGGGUCUUGGUAAGACGCUCACCUCCCUCUCCUUUGUGCUGCUGUUCCAGGCACAGGCGCUGCUGAUGGCAAUGAAGCGCGAGCGAGUGCGUCAGCAGCAGCUCGGGAGCGCCUCUGCCGCUGCCGCUUCAAGCGUCGCGCUGAAAGGUGCCGUGUGCCCUGCACUCCGUGUGCUUGUCCUGUGCCCUCGCAGCUGCGUGUUGCACUGGCAGGCAUCCAUUUCGGAGUGGAUCCAGCCGCGGUAUGCGGGAACUAUGAAGAUCAACUCCUACGUGCCCAGUGCGAUGGGCUUCUCCCUCAGUGCAACGCACCGUGGCACCAGCGGCCGCUCUAUCGAGGACGUGCUGCUCUCUUUCUAUCAAGAGGGAGGCUUGCUGCUGCUAGGCUACGAGGAGUACCAGCGCAUUCUACAGUACGCACAGACGCAGUAUCGCAGCAACCCCACCAACAAAUGGCCCCGCGUGUGGUCAUUGCUGGAUCGCCUGCGACUCCAUCUUCCGCUUUUUCAGGAGGUGCGGCUACUGGACAUCAUUGAGACCGCUGACCUCGUUAUCCUCGACGAGGCGCAUCGGCUACGCCGCAGCAGCUCGAACCUGGUGACGGCGUUGACGCAGCACAUCCGCAACAUCCAGCUUCGGCUGGCACUCACGGGCACCCCGCUGCAGAACCACCUCGAGGAGUACAACACGAUGCAGUCCAUCAUCACCGGCCGCGAGCUUGACACCCAGCUCUUUCACAAGCACUUCAUCGCACCGAUCGAGAGAGGACAGUGCGUGGACGCCACGUACCCGCAGUUUCUCGAGAUGCAGCGGUGCGUGGCGUCUUUGCGCAGGUACUUCGCCGACUCGGCGCACCACUGCGGACCGGAGGUGCUGGCAGCCACCCUGCCGCCGCGACGCGAGUUCCUAUUCUUUUUCAGGCUCUCCGCAGCGCAGGAGGCGGCGUACAGGGCGAUGCUGAAGUACUUCCACACGCAGGUCGCCGCUGGAGAAAAGGGAGACUCGGUACUGCGGCUGCACCACGUCGCGUCACACAUAUGCCUGCAUCCCGUCCUAUCGGAACUGGAGGUGCCGAGCAGCAGCACCACCCUUGCCUCCUGUAAGGACGGCGAGGAGGACGGUGACGACGAGGAUGAGGACGCAACGCCAGCGGCCCCUCCGACCCUGCCCGCGGCGGCCCUCACCGGCGUGGAUGUUUCCGUGUCCCCGAAGCUGAGUUUCGCUUUCCACCUUACCGUGCACAUUGUGCGCGAGCAGCGCGAGAAGGUCGUCAUCUUCUCGCAAUACUUGAGUCACCUGCGACUGAUGGGGCAGUUGCUGGCACGCGAAGGGAUUUCGGCGCCAUCCUUGACCGGGGCCGCCUCUGACGCAGAGCGGUGCCGCUGCAUCAGUGAGCUUCAAAGCAAUGACGCGUGUCGUGUGUUGCUGUGCUCCGUCCGCGCGGGUGGCGUUGGCAUCAAGCUCACCGCUGCCAGUCACUGCAUCCUCCUCGACGUGAGCUGGAACCCGACGGAUGACGUGCAGGCCACGUACCGACUAUAUCGCUACGGGCAGCUGCGGCCGGUGAACAUCUACCGGCUGGCCACGUGGGGCACGUCCGAGCACAUUGUCUUUGCCUACGCUUUGCAGAGGUCGUGGCUGCAGAAGAAGAUCGCCGACAUCAGCGACCCGCGCCGGCAGCAGCGCCAUCAGACGCGCAGCUACUUCCGCUAUCCGUGCGCAGUCCCUCUACCGGAUGAUGGGUCGAGCCUCGCCACAGAUGAGCAGGCGACUCUGCAGCAGUCGCGGCCGGCGCUGAAGGAGACGCUGGCGAGCAGUCGCCGGCUGGAGUACGCUCUUGAGGUGUGCGAGACCCAGUGCCCGAUCGCGGCCCGUGUCCUGCGCGCGCACCCGGAGGAAAAGGCCUACCUCUACACUGUGAUCCCGCAGUCGGUGCUGCUGCUUCAUAACGAGGAUGACGUGAUUCGCGAACGCGGGCGCCGCUUUGAGGACGCAGCGCACAAGUCGCGCGCGUCUGUUGCGAUUCCGCUGCAAAUGCCCAGCGGAGGUGCUCCUCCCGCGCACGCGCGGGAGGACGUGAGUCUGCUGGACGCGUGCGAGGCAGAGCUCGUGGACGCGGCGCGGCAGGCAGCCCAUCUCGUGAUCACGCACGUCUUGCGCGCCCGUGAGGAGGCGGUCAGUGAAAGCGAUACGGUAUCGGAAGUGCGCACGCUGGACCAGAGCAUGUGUCAGCGACUACAGCCGCUUCUCGCACCGGUGCUGGAAAAACGUCCGCCGCCGCGGUUCCUGGCGGAGGUGCUCCUGCUCUGCUACCAGGCCGGCGCCGCCGACUUGUUCCGCACGCUGCUGCAGAGCAGCUCGUACCUGAAGCUGCGCACCUAUCUUGCCAGUCGUGUUCCUGCUGCCACCCGACGUCGGACACGAGACACGGCUCUGCCCACUCGAAGCCCUCUCGAGGAGGCCCUGCUCUUCACUCCGGUCUCCCUGUUCAAGUCCAUGUCGUCCGUAGAGGCAACGUACGUCGCGACGGAGCUGGGCUGCGACCGCCCGUUUGUCGGCUUCUGCUUGUUGCGCGGCUUGCAGAAGCUGUGGUUCGUGGAUGGGCGCCUCGCCCUUAGCGAGGCCGCCCUGGAAGCGCUGGCGACGUUGCUGGGCAUCACGCCAGGCAGAAUCGACGACGAUAGCGACAGCGCGGAGGACGAGGGGACGGCUGAGGGAGAGGACGGUGGUCGCGCGCCCUCGAGGUGGGACGACGACGGCGCAUUCGCUGAGGCGCUUGCGGCGUUGGCGCAGUCCGUGCUGACCGCCAUGACGAGCUGUCUUGAGGAGCAGUGGCCCCCUUACGAGGGCUUCGCGCUACCGCCGCAGCAUCUCCAGCUGGAGCGCGAAGAAAUGCGCGUGGGGCGCGCCUACAGUGCAGCGUCGAGGGCGCACAUGGAAGGUCUGCUGCCGCUCGCCCAAGUGGCGGAACUUCUCCGACUGCCCUCCUACCGACAAGGACAGCACAUGUACGGCUGUGCGCGGUGCCGCAGCCCGCUGCUGCAACGGCUCGACGCGACGCACCUGGAGUGCCCGCGCUGCCACUACAACGCCGAGUUCGAGGUGCGUGCCGACCCCCGCACGCAACAGCAGACCGUGCUCUACCAGCUCUCCGUGGUGGCCAACCUGCUCGAUGCCUUCUCCAUCACCAAGAGCUUCGCCGUGUCCUUCUCGCCGGCCGAGUGCGCUGAUGUCAGUGCGGCCUUGCGGGAGGUGCACACGUCACAGGCCGUAUUCGAGUUCGUGCGCCGCACCAUGGAGGAGGGGGUGCAGGCUUUCCUGAGCGAGUACCCGCCGCGACUGGUACGGCUGCUCGGGCUGCAGAUGGGAACCGGCGGUGACGUUGAGGCGUUGCGGCGAGUGUUGCUGGCCAACGGCCGACUCGCGUCGCACACGAAUGUGCGCGAGCACCUGCGACAGCGCCUUGCGCAGGCGUUUGCCGACUUUGUGCACCCCAGCACACUCACGCAGUUUGUGGCUAUGCCCCUCAUGCUCAUUGCCACGGCGUUGCAUUACCUUGCGCGCUGCGAACGACUGACUUACGCACACGAGCUGCUGCUGGAUGAGUGCCCGACGCCACGGCGCAAGCUUCUGCGCUUCGCCAGCGAUGCCCUCGUCAAGGUUCUCUACGUGGAGCGGCUGUUGAAGCACUGCCGUCAGAAGCCUCUACCAUCCUCGUAUGCCUCUUCGAUGUCUGUGGCGGCCUGUGGUGCGGCGCUGGGGUCCGGUGCGGUCGCGCGGCAGAAGGGCGCUGUGAGCAGCGAUCCCGACGAUGCUGCCUCUCUGACCUCCCUGCUGAUGGCGGCUUCCUCCUCGUCUGGGAGCCGAAGCCGGUCUAGCGCGUCCACGUCAUCGUCGUCUUUUCACAGCGACAGCGCCGCCGGCACACAGCGGGCGCACAGGGACCCACUAGCGUACCUGAUGGGCAGCAGCCGCAGCAGCAGCAGCGGUAGCGGUUCUCGCGCCGCCUCUGCCUCUUCGUCGUCCUCCUUCUCGGCUCAACACAGCUCGUCCAGCUCGUUCAGCUCCGUCUACUCCAGCGAUCGCGCAAGCUUCCCUGACGGAGGCGAGUCGGACGCGGAGGAGCGAGAUGAGGUGACGCGGGGCCAGCAUGGCACCUUGACGUGGCUGGAGGAGCUGGCGGGCAACACGCUGGAGCGGGCCGCCCCCACGGCGGAGGAGUUGGAGAGCGAGGCGGUGCAACAACAACGGUCCGCCCAGUACUGGAUCGCCUUCUGCGAAGUGUAUGGCACACACAGCGCGGAGACGCUCACCGUGUACAUCGAGGACGCGGCCAGUGGUGCAAAGGUGCUGCCGCCGCCCCCGCUGUCCUGUUGGAUCUCGCAGGUCGCCCACACCACCAUGACCGGCUACCGCAUGACCGACAUGCUGGACAUCUUCUUUAAGAAGUUACUGGAGCUAUCUCAGCAGGUGCGCGUCAUAUCGUAGCAAGGCGGGUUGAUGGACCCUGUGUGUGUGUGUGUGGCAGCGGCCUCCAUACACUUUUCGACAGAGGUGGAUGGGUCGGUGAAAGGGGGAAGGGGAGUGCGAGGCGGCGCUGAGCGACAUGCGCGCGCGGUGCCCCGUGUGCGCAUACCGGUUCGGCACCUAAGGAGCAGUCGCGUCGACUCACAUCACUUCGUGUAACAUGCAAAAGGAGAGAAUGCCUGAAAGCCAGAGGGAGCAGAGCGUCAAGCGAGGUGGAGCGCGGGGGGAGGCCGGAGAGACGAGACAUCUGCGUAGAAGCGCGACUGGGAGACUGAGCAGCGAAGGCGUCCGUGCCAGAAUCUCCUGUUCGCACGCGCAGCGCGUCGUCGGGACAGGGUUCGAAAGGCUCUAUACCUCAGUGC